CCUUACUGGCAGUUGCAAACGCGCUAUACAAAUUUGCAACCAGCAGGUGCACGUUGCAACUGCAACUUUUUAAUGAAACGGACACAAGGUUGCAAGUUGCAAUUAUUAGCAAAAUUGCAACUGCAACUGCGCUGCAACCGUUAAUGAAACGGCCCCCUGAACGCUUCUGACAGUGGGCUACACCACACCGAUUUCAUGAAUUGAAUUGAAAGGAAGUGGUUUCUUUAAAUAUAAUUUAAUAUGUGUUCUACUUUGAGGUUCUCUUCCUUCCUUGAACACCUUUAACAAUAUAAUAUUAUAAUACAAAAUAUGUAGCACUAAAUAAAAUAUAAACUAUCUUAUAAGGCUUUACGUGUCUUAAAUUUCUAAAGGCUAAGACGAACUCACACUCGUGGAAAUAUAAAAUAUUAAUAUUUAUUUUACAAAUAACACCAGUGUUACAAAUUGGCGUGUUACGUGUGUUUUUAACAGAAUUUAAAUUUUAGACAUUUUAAGUGCUACUUUGUGCUAAACAAGUUUUUUUCGACUAUUGUCAACAUAAUAAAUCAACAUGUGAUCCACGAGGACAUCGAUUUGUUGCUGCGGGAGGAACCCCUACGCUGCAUGAGGAGCUGCUUUAGACAGCGUGUGUACAGGAGAUUGCUGUGAUAUCUUUAGAGGUUUUUACUUUGCCUGGACAUUUUGAAGCUGUUUGGUGCGUUGUGAAUUUCUAAGUGGUCAUCGCGCUGCCGCUAUUGUUCCAGUUUCCAGUUAUUCUAGUAGGACUAUUUUGUGGGUAAUCAUCUGCCCACAUAACGCAAAUCUUCAAGACCUUCAUCCUGCUCAUUAGAUCUACACGGAAGAUUAGGACAAUUAAUAUUUUAAAUUUCCCGACGUGAACAAUUAACAAUUGUGCAUCUAGUGGCUGAAAAAAAAAUGUGUUAUUAUCCAGGUCAACAGAGCAGUCUACAGAUACAUUGCAGAUAGAAGACUGGCUCGUUGGAUUUGGCAGUGCCUGGGCAAGAAGGACCGACGACCACUUCCAUCAUGCGCUGUGGCAGCCAUUCGUCAGAGGUUUCUGUCUGGCGCUUACUCUGGGUUUCGCUUUGCUAAUUAAACCGCGACCGAUGAGCUUGAACAGCCUCUGUCUUCAUGAUCCUCUUGGCAGAUGACGACAGCGGUGGUGGUGAUAACAGGACAUUAGCAGAGGCAGCACUUGCAUUGGCAUCGCUCUUUAACUCCUCUUUUAGCCUAAGUAGCUCUAUUAAUAGUUCACCAACAUAGUCUGAAAGUUAUAUUUUAAUACAUUAUAAUAAUUUAACAAUUUUCCUACCCUUUGUUUUGAAAAAAAAAACAGUGUAUGGUUUUUGACUUGUUGUUUUUCAACUAUGUAUUAUAGUCAUCUAGGAAUUAAAAAAUAAAUAUUUCAUAAAAGA